UACGUAGGGUGCAAGCGUUAAUCGGAAUUACUGGGCGUAAAGCGUGCGCAGGCGGUUUUGUAAGUCUGUCGUGAAAGCCCCCGGGGCUCAACCUGGGGAAUUGCGAUGGAGACUGCAAGGCUUGAAUCUGGCAGAGGGGGGGUAGAAUUCCACGUGUAGCAGUGAAAUGCGUAGAGAUGUGGAGGAACACCGAUGGCGAAGGCAGCCCCCCUGGGUCAAGAUUGACGCUCAUGCACGAAAGCGUGGGGAGCAAACAGG
rnacentral:rRNA from 1 species